AUUGAACGCUGGCGGCAGGCCUAACACAUGCAAGUCGAACGAGUGGCGGACGGGUGAGUAAUGUCUGGGAAACUGCCCGAUGGAGGGGGAUAACUACUGGAAACGGUAGCUAAUACCGCAUACCAUCGGAUGUGCCCAGAUGGGAUUAGCUUGUAGGUGAGGUAACGGCUCACCUAGGAGACGAUCCCUAGCUGGUCUGAGAGGAUGACCAGACACACUGGAAAUGAGACACGGUCCAGAAUCCUACGGGAGGCAGAAGUGGGGAAUAUUGCACAAGGGGGGAAAGCCGGAUGCAGACAUGCCGCGUGUAUGAAGAAGGACUUAGGGGUGUAAAGUACGUUCAGCGGGGAGGCGUUACCCGCAGAAGAAGCACCGGCUAACUCCGUGCCAGCAGCCGCGGUAAUUC
rnacentral:rRNA from 1 species